ACCAGCUAUAGGCAACUGCCUAGGUUGCCUUGUACCUAGGCAACUGUUACACUGCUGGGAGAAAAGCAGUCAAUAGCUGUGGACAUU
ensembl:snoRNA SNORA74 Small nucleolar RNA SNORA74